UGGCGGACGGGUGAGUAAUGUCUGGGAAACUGCCUGAUGGAGGGGGAUAACUACUGGAAACGGUAGCUAAUACCGCAUAACGUCGCAAGACCAAGAGGGGACCUUAGGGCCUCUUGCCAUCGGAUGUGCCCAGAUGGGAUUAGCUAGUAGGUGGGGUAAAGGCUCACCUAGGCGACGAUCCCUAGCUGGUCUGAGAGGAUGACCAGCCACACUGGAACUGAGACACGGUCCAG
rnacentral:rRNA from 1 species